GAAACCGCAUGGUUUUGAUUUGAAAGGCGCUUUCGGGUGUCGCUGAUGGAUGGACCCGCGGUGCAUUAGCUAGUUGGUGAGGUAACGGCUCACCAAGGCCACGAUGCAUAGCCGACCUGAGAGGGUGAUCGGCCACAUUGGGACUGAGACACGGCCCAAACUCCUACGGGAGGCAGCAGUAGGGAAUCUUCGGCAAUGGACGAAAGUCUGACCGAGCAACGCCGCGUGAGUGAAGAAGGUUUUCGGAUCGUAAAACUCUGUUGUUAGAGAAGAACAAGGAUGAGAGUAACUGUUGUCCCUUGACGGUAUCUAACCAGAAAGCCACGGCUAACUACGUGCCAGCAGCCGCGGUAAUACGUAGGUGGCAAGCGUUGUCCGGAUUUAUUGGGCGUAAAGCGAGCGCAGGCGGUUUCUUAAGUCUGAUGUGAAAGCCCCCGGCUCAACCGGGGAGGGUCAUUGGAAACUGGGAGACUUGAGUGCAGAAGAGGAGAGUGGAAUUCCAUGUGUAGCGGUGAAAUGCGUAGAUAUAUGGAGGAACACCAGUGGCGAA
rnacentral:rRNA from 1 species